ACUCCUACGGGAGGCAGCAGUGGGAAUAUUGCACAAUGGGGAAAGCCCUCGAUGCAGCCAUGCCGCGUGUGUGAAGAAGGCCUUCGGGUUGUAAAGCACUUUCAGCGAGGAGGAAAAGGGUGUAAGUUAAUACCUUACAUCUGUGACGUUACUCGCAGAAGAAGCACCGGCUAACUCCGUGCCAGCAGCCGCGGUAAUACGGAGGGUGCGAGCGUUAAUCGGAAUUACUGGGCGUAAAGCGCAUGCAGGUGGUUUGUUAAGUCAGAUGUGAAAGCCCGGGGCUCAACCUCGGAAUUGCAUUUGGAAAACUGGCAGACUAGAGUACUGUAGAGGGGGUGAGAAUUGUCAGGUGUAGCGGUGAAAUGCGUAGAGAUCUGAAGGAAUACCGGUGGCGAAGGCGGCCCCCUGGCACAAUACUGACACUCAGAUGCGAAAGCGUGGG
rnacentral:rRNA from 1 species